rnacentral:sRNA from 2 species
CGUUCUGGUAUGGAUAACCGACCGGCAUGCUGCGUAUGUUGAGGAGUCCCUGUUGACCCCUACCGGAGGCCCUUGUCAAUACCCUUGGUUCGCAUCAGCAAGACCGAAGAACGUUGGAGAACGUUAUUAUUUGACUUAGGGCCAAUGCAGGGGCUUGGCUUCGACGCCUAAAGUUAAAUUUAGGGCAAAAGCUUCCAUAGGGCGAAAACACGAGAGACGUAUCUCAAAGCGAAUGGGAAUGGAUUUUGGACGGCACAUCCCUGCGCCAAAUGUGGCUUGAGAAUGGAAUAACUUAUUUAGCGCUCAAGACGAAGCCUAAUUGGAGUGGAGAGGUAGGUUAAAUGAUCCUCCUUGUGGGAUUUGAAAAGGUUUUCUUGAAUUAUUCGUUUCUUUUUUCUUUUUCUUUCUUCCUGUUCAUUAUUAGUGCUGUUUGGCGUCCAAAAUGUCAACUCCUCGCCAAGUCCUCGGCGAUGGCGUGUAUGAAGACCGGAGCUGCUCCGACUUGCUAGAUAGUGUCCUAGACCCCAGUCCGUCAAAACCAAUGAAGA